rnacentral:rRNA from 1 species
UGGGGAAUAUUGCACAAUGGGCGAAAGCCUGAUGCAGCGACGCCGCGUGGAGGAUGAAGGUUUUCGGAUUGUAAACUCCUGUUAAGUGGGAAGAAAGACUCAUACCUAAUACGUAUGGGGGAUGACGGUACCACUAGAGAAAGCACCGGCAAACUUCGUGCCAGCAGCCGCGGUAAUACGAAGGGUGCUAGCGUUAUUCGGAAUGACUGGGCGUAAAGAGCGUACAGGCGGUUUGUUAAGUCAACUGUUAAAUCACUCAGCUUAACUGGGUAUCUGCAGAUGAAACUGGCGAACUAGAGUGCAGGAGAGAAAGGUAGAAUUCUCGGAGUAGCGGUAAAAUGCGUAGAUCUCGAGAGGAAUACCGGUUGCGAAGGCGGCCUUUUGGCCUGUUACUGACGCUAAAGCGCGAAAGCGUGGGGAGCAAACAGG